rnacentral:lncRNA from 1 species
AUGCAGAAGUGCACACACCGUAUAGGUUUUGGGGAAGUCGGCGUUGCGGAGCGGGGCGGCACAGAGGACCUGCCGCGCCGGGUCUCGGGGUCUCGGGGUCUCGGGGUCUCGGGGUCUCGAGUCUCCGGCCCCGGGUCCCGCCGCUCCGCCGCCGGCGCCGCCUCCCGCCCGACCCGGCUCGGGGCUGGCGCGGGGCGGGCGCGGGGCGGGCGCGGGGGGCGCGGGGGGACCCGGGAGCUCCGGGCUCGGGCUCGGGCUCGGGCUCGGGCUCGGGCGCUGCGGCGGGAGCUAGUUACCUGUCGGGGCGCCGCUCAGGGCCGCUCCCCCGCCGCUCCGCCCGCCAUGCUCCGCUCCCUCCCGGGGCGCCCGGGCCGCGGCCGAGCGGAUGUGCGGCGGGCCCGGGGCGGCGGCGGCGGCGGCGGCGGGGGCGGGGGCGGGGGCGGGGCGGCGCUCCGGGGCCGCGGGGCAGGGCCGUCCCAGCCCGACCGGGAUCUCCGCCGAGCAGGAAAAAAAAAAAAAAAAAGCAAAAAAAAAAACUUUUCACUCGUGACACCGCCCGGAAUCACGGCGCGCAAGUGCGUCCCCGCGGCGGCGGGCCCGGGCCGGGGGCCGGGGGCCGGGGGGGGCAGGGGGGGCGCGGGGGGGCGCGGGGCGCGGGGUCCCGGCCGCGCUAGGCCUCCGGCUCCGGGUUAUUGUCUCGACAGCGCCCGCCGCGCCCUCCGCCCGCCGCCGCCCCGGGGCCGCCGCCGAGGGGCCGGGCGAGCUCGCGGGCGGCCCCCUCCCCGCCCCGCCCCUCCCGUCCCCGGCCGCCGUCCGUCCGUCCGUCCGUCCCUCCGUCCGUCCCUCUCGGCGCCGCGGCGGGCGGGCCCUCGAGCCGCGCUCUCCUCCCUCUCCCGGCUUCCCGCCGCCGGCCCCUCGCUCCCCGGCUCGCGCUUCCUCCGGGCGGCCGCGGCGGGGGCGCCCCCGGGCGGCGCGGGGGGCCGCGGGGGGCGGGGGGGCGGGGCGCGGGGGUCCUCUCGGGCUCGCGGGGCCGCGGCGGGGGCCGAGGCUGCGUCCCGCGCCGCCGCGCCACCUUCGCUCGGGCUGGCGAGCCUGCGAGGGGCGGGAGGGGGGGGGGGGGGGGGGAGGGAGGGAGGGAGAGAAAGGAGGAGCAGGGAGCCGGGCGGAGGGGAGUGCCGGCCUCGCAGGCCGCGCGGCAGCAGCAGCGCCACCGCCACCGCCCCGGCGGGCAGGGGGAGAGACUGCGCGCGGCGGGGCAGGGGCGGGGCGGGGCGGGGCGGGGCGCCUCCCGCGGGCUUCGCCCCCCCGCCCACGGCCGGGCAGGAGGCCUGCGCGAGCCAGUGCCGGCGCGCGGGGGCGGCGGGGGCGGAGGCGGGGGCGGGGGCGGCGGGGGCGCGCGGGGGGCGCGGGGGGAGGGCCCGGCGGCGGGGCUGCGCGCGCGAGGCCCAGCUGGGCCGGGACCCCAGCUCCUCCGCGCAGCCGGGGCGCCGAGCCCCCCGCCCUCCCAGCCGCCUGGGCCCCGGCGCACGACGGCCCCGGGGGCGCGGGGUUCAGGUCCAGCCCCGCUCGGCGGGCUGCAGGUAG